AUUGAACGCUGGCGGCAGGCCUAACACAUGCAAGUCGAGCGGAGCGGCGGACGGGUGAGUAAUGCCUAGGAAUCUGCCUGGUAGUGGGGGAUAACGUCCGGAAACGGGCGAUAAUACCGCAUACUAUCAGAUGAGCCUAGGUCGGAUUAGCUAGUUGGUGGGGUAAAGGCCUACAAAGGCGACGAGCCGUAACGGGUCUUAGCGGAUGAUCAGUCAAAUGGGAACUGAGACCAGGUCCAGACUCCUACGGGAGUCAGCAGUGGGGAACAUUGGACAAUGGGCGAAAGCCUGACCCAGCAAGGCGGCGUGUGUGAAGAAGGUCUUCGGAUUGUAAAGCACUUUAAGUUGGGAGGCGUUACCUACAGAAUAAGCACCGGCUAACUUCGUGCCAGCAGCCGCGGUAAUAC
rnacentral:rRNA from 1 species